rnacentral:rRNA from 1 species
UACAGAGGUCUCAAGCGUUAUUCGGAAUUACUGGGCUUAAAGGGUUCGCAGGCGGUCUGACAAGUCCCUUGUGAAAUAUCAGGGCUCAACCCUGAAACUGCUCGGUAGACUGUCAGACUUGAGUGCAAAAGGGGUCGCUGGAACUCUAGGUGGAGCGGUGAAAUGCGUAGAUAUCUGGAGGAACACCGGUGGCGAAGGCGGCAUCCUGGACCAACACUGACACUGAGGAGCGAAAGCCAGGGGAGCAAACGGG